rnacentral:rRNA from 1 species
GACGAACGCUGGCGGCGUGCUUAACACAUGCAAGUCGAACGGAAAGGCCCUGCUUUUGUGGGGUUCUCGAGUGGCGAACGGGUGAGUAACACGUGAGUAACCUGCCCUUGACUUUGGGAUAACUUCAGGAAACUGGGGCUAAUACCGGAUAGGAUCUCCUGCUGCAUGGUGGGGGUUGGAAAGUUUCGGCGGUUGGGGAUGUACUCGCGGCUUAUCAGCUUGUUGGUGGGGUAGUGGCUUACCAAGGCUUUGACGGGUAGCCGGCCUGAGAGGGUGACCGGCCACCUUGGGACUGAGAUAAGGCCCAGACUCCUACGGGACGCAGCAGUGGGGAAUAUUGCACAAUGGGCGGAAGCCUGAUGCAGCAACGCCGCGUGCGGGAUGACGGCCUUCGGGUUGUAAACCGAUUUCGCAUGUGACGAAGCGUGAGUGACGGUACUGGGUAAAGAAGCACCGGCUAACUACGUG